CCUUAUAUCAAUGGGUUUAUUUUGAUUAUGUAUCUUCAGUACAAGUCCUUUCACUAGUAUAAUUGAUUCUAGGUUGGGUGUACAUGAUGAUCGAGUAUAAAUGGAUCGAUCAUACUAAGAUUUUCUAUUUUAUUAAUACAAUUAUGCUGAAAUGCUCAUACUUCAUCUCUGUUGGAUCUUUCUCUUAGUAGUUCCUAGUAACAUCUGCACUUGUUGUAUUACUCGGACAAAAUCAGAAAUAUUUGGUUGUACAGAAGAUAAGAAGAUCAUCAGAGAGCUGGGCGGAGUGUAUUUGUGUGUGCUAAUAUAACAGUAAUAAGAAUACUCCAUAUGCUAGAAGACAAAAUGAAGACGAGGGAGAAAAGAGAAGAUUACUGAACACACACACACACAGAGAGACAGAGAGAGAGAGUUUUUAGUUAUACAUAUGUGGUUAAUUAUAUUGUGUAUCAAUAAGAGGGGGUGCAGGCAAUACAAGCGAGCAACAGAAUAGCAGAAGAAGCACCAUCGUCUUCAAGAUUUGAGCUGCUUCUCUUGAACUUGCAGACAUUGGCUUUAUUGCAUUGUAUCUGCUUUUGCAUCUGCUGCUGGAAAUGUUGGUGAUGAUAGUUGUAAGCCUCCUUGUUGCCCUUUUGCUGCUCUUGCUGCUGCCUCUUCUUCAUGGCCACCUCCUCUGAUCUAAUAAUUUAUCUUCUUUAAUUUAGAAGGAAACUCUUUUUGAAUAGUGAUGACUCUCGUGGAUUUUGUGCAUGGGAAACAGCCAUACAUGCUCCCCAUUUUAUAGUAAAUCACUAUCCCAAAAUGCCCUUGGUUUCUUCUCCUAAUUAAUAAUAACCUCUAUAUUAUUUUUUGUAUAUAUAUUAUUCCAGCUGGAAAUGGUGCCAAUUCGACACAUUGGAUUCUCUUAGAAUGCCCAGUUCAAACUCUUGGAUUAGCAGGAUGAUCAUUUUGCUUAGCUGGUUUAAGCUUGUAAUUAUACAUCAUGAUCUGCAACUAACAAAUUAUAGUCCAUAGAUCAUACAAAAGACAAUGAUUGGUUUUGGAUUAAAGAAAUGGACUCUCCCAUUCUCUAAUAAUUUUAACAUGCAGG
rnacentral:lncRNA from 1 species